rnacentral:rRNA from 1 species
AUGGUCAAUGGAUGGAAGGAAAGAGCCCUCUCUUAUGGGGGUAAGGAAGCUUUGUUGAAAGUGGUGGCCCAAGCCAUCCCAACAUAUACGAUGGGUGCUUUCAAAUCCCAAAAAAAAAUCUGCAAGGGGAUCACUGAUGCAAUGUCGUAAUAUUGGUGGGGUGAUGAGGAGAACCAGCGAAGGAUGCAUUGGUUUGCAUGGUGGAAAACGUGUGUGCCAAAAGAGAGAGGUGGUAUGGGAUUCAGAGAUGUGCAUAGUUUUAAUCUAGCAAUGCUAGCCAAGCAAUGUUAA